rnacentral:rRNA from 1 species
GACGUAGGGCGCGAGCGUUGUCCGGAUUUAUUGGGCGUAAAGAGCUCGUAGGCGGCUUGUCGCGUCGUUCGUGAAAACCCGGGGCUCAACUCCGGGCUUGCGGGCGAUACGGGCAGGCUAGAGUUCGGUAGGGGAGACUGGAAUUCCUGGUGUAGCGGUGAGAUGCGCAGAUAUCAGGAGGAACACCGGUGGCGAAGGCGGGUCUCUGGGCCGAUACUGACGCUGAGGAGCGAAAGCGUGGGGAGCGAACAGG